GGUUGCAUUAAGCUAAUCAAAUAAGCGAUAAUCAUGUAUUGGUCAAUGCAUGGUUCUCUACUACCAGUGAUUGUGGUAGCGCUCUGCCUACCGCUCGUGCCUUCACACAAACCUAAGAAACAUGGCGACUCCUACACGGACCACACAGGAGGCAUCACGGUAUACGAAGCUCCAAGUUUCUACCAUGAUCCUCCAAGUACGCCAUACCACUCCACAUAUGGUCAACCUCCAGGAUACGCUCCUGUCUCAUACCCUCCCGUAUCCUACGCGCAGCCUGCGUAUGAAUACGCGGCGCCGUAUCCUGAGCCGUACGGAGUAACGUACUUGCCUGUACCUACUAGAGAACGAGGCAAGAAAAGCAAUAAAUCUUUAAUAAAAAGUCUCAAACAGGAGGAGCUUCAGCUGUACAAAGGAUUCAAGUCCUUGUCCAAAAGCAUCUGGAAGGGCUACAAGGGCGACGAGGAUGAAUUACUCACCGUCCACCGUCCCGUGUACAACCCGCCUCCGCCACCGCGGCUGGUCGAAGUCAGGGUCCCCAAGUGUAAAGAUACCGUCGAGAUCCCCACCUACAUAACUGAGACUCUCAUUAAAACGCGCAACAUUUACGUCACGAAGACUCGCACCAAGACAACGGAACGCCACAUUAAAGAAUACGUGGUAAAUACGCAGUACCAGACGCAGACGGCAACAAAAGUGGUCUCUCAUUACGCACCUGCUUCGACCAUCACCAUCUACAGCCCGCCAGAGACCGUCUACAACACCAUCUACAGCCCGCCAGAGACCGUCUACCACACGCAGUACAUCACGCAGCUGCACGAGAAGACGCAAUUUCUCCCUCACUACGUGACGGUAACAAUCGCACCAAACCCCACGCACACACCUCAUCUUGAAUACUCGGAGCACGCAACACCUCACCAGGCCUCUGAACAUUACGAGCCUUCUUCUUACAGUGACGAGAAAAACUUCUCCUAUAAGCGGAAAUCUGACGAUAGCUCGAGUUUUACAACUCAAACCGAAGCACAAGAUCAAAAUCAGCUAGGGGACUAUAACCAGAUCCAAGACUACUUUCAAACUCUGGGACAAGCUCUAAAUCAAGCUGUAGAUAAUGAUGAAUCAAUUUCACCGCAUUUGGGUUUAACUUGAUUAUCAAAAGACCUACUAGCAGCAUCCAGCUUGACGACGAAAUAGAAAGGCAUCCAUCUUGACGACGAAACGGACUCGCAUAUGUUAUAACGACAAUAGCUCAAGUAAAUUUUGAUUGAAGACAACUAAAACGAAGCAUCUGCAAAUUCAAUAUUUUGGCAACUCCGAGCUAAAGUUUACUAACUCGUAAGCAUUUAUUAUUGACUCUGGCAUAUCUGACUAGUUUAAUUUUGGCCAAACCACAGUGAGAAAACAUAAAUUAAUCAUCAAGUCAGAGAGUAAAACAGUCAUUGAUUGGGAAACGCGGGUUCAGAAAAUGAAGAAUUAUAAACAUGAGGCUGUUAAUUAAUGAGAACCGUUUCACUGGCAAAUCAGCAGGCAGUGCCGAGAAGGCAGGGAAUUGAAAUCUAUCGUUCGUGGCUGAGAUAUUAUUUCAUAUUUGCCCAAACUUUUAAUGUGUUUUUAUGUACCUAGCAAAGGCAUUGAUGGACACUAGUAAUGUUAAUAAUCGAAAAAUAUUCAUUAAAAAUAAAACUAUGAAAAUUUAAUUAAAUUAAAAUGCAUUUUUAAAGUAUGUAACAAUUACUCAGUAAUGAGUAAUAAACUAUAUUAAGAAAAAAUAGAUACGAUGAUCGUGAGCUAUUUAUAGUUAUACAAAUAUAAUACUCAAGCAAUUGUGAUUUGUAUAUAAUAUUUCUUCGUGCGUAAAUGAUUCUAUCAGUUAACCCUGAGUCAAGCCAAAAACAAAUUAUGACGCGGUGGUGAAGAAAAUUAAAUUAAAUAAGAAGAUACAUGACUUAUUUGGACAAAGCACGCACGUUGAACAAGGCAACCUACCGACCUGCUGGACAAAGGACAAAACUACGGACUGCUCUGGACUGAAUUCUGUUGCAACAAAUGAAUUUUUGAAUUCAUUUGUUUUCUAACACCACAGCGCACAGCAUUUACAUCACAAAAACAAGCACAACGACAACGGAAAGCUUCGUGAAAG